rnacentral:rRNA from 1 species
UACGGAGGGGGCAAUCGUUGCUCGGAAUUACUGGGCGUAAAGGGCGCGUAGGCGGGAUGGCCAGUCGGUCGUGAAAUCCUUCGGCUCAACCGAAGAACGUCGAUCGAUACUGCUGUUCUUGAGGGUUGCAGAGGAGACUGGAAUUCCCGGUGUAGCGGUGAAAUGUGUAGAGAUCGGGAGGAACACCGGUGGCGAAGGCGGGUCGCUGGGCAAUUCCUGACGCUGAGGCGCGAAAGCGUGGGGAGCAAACGGG